UGUGGGAAAGGGGAAAAGGAAAGAAGGACAAGGAGAAGAAAAAGAAAAAAGAUAAGAAUGACCUAGCUGCCUAACCUGGUCUACGUGGUUAAUCCAAACCACUGGGUAGUCAUUCAGCCACUCAGAAUGUACUGGGCACCUGCUGUACCCACCUGCCAGGCUCAGUGCUGUUGACCACUUGUAUCUCUGAGGUUAACUCAGGCUUGUACGCCCUUCACAUCUCCCACCCUAUGGGAGCAGCUAUUGCCUUUGUCUGCCUGGCAUCUGGUACCCUACCUUCUGGUCACAGCACCUCUGUUCUCCUUUGAAGAGUCAUCCCUCUCCUAACUUCAGCUCUCAUGCACUUGGCAGGAUUGGCGUCAACCCCAGAUCCAACAAUGUGCCCUUCAAGAAGGAACCUGCUUCCUACAAGUGUCACCCCGGCACAGUCACGCAGACCAUGUUUCUGUCCCUACUCGAUUGCAUGGCCGUGACCUAAAGGCUGAACACUGGCUGACACCUACGCCAAAGAUGAUCGAAGUCCCUGUGUCCUGUGGUUGCCACGGCGUGGACUACACACACACCCGGGCCAAUUGAUUUUUGUUCCUGUGAUUUUGACCUUCACUGGAAACUGAGCUUAGAAGUUCUCUACCAGAUUAAUGAAGACCAGCUUGAAAGUGCAAACUGUUGGAGGAAAUCUCUGCCUCUAGCAGAGUUACAGCUCGGAUUGUAUCGUGUUACGGAUCUAGCUAUGCUCCAUCCAUGCCUUCGUCAAUUAUCUCCAAAGCGUUCCAUGAGGAAGGCCUUUUGAUGACUGCUAAACUCUUUCCACCUCCAGAUGAUUACGAUUUGAGCUAAUGAGGAACCAUCCCUUGUCGGUGAUUGGCGGAGGAUUGGGCGGGCCCGUGCCGCUUCGGGCCAAUGAGCUGUGAGUCCAGGGUUCUCCUUCCGGGAAGAGCUGCGCCUCCCCGCUGGGGAAGCGG